rnacentral:rRNA from 1 species
UGACCGCUGGCGGCGUGCCUAAUACAUGCAAGUCGAGCGAACAGACGAGGAGCUUGCUCCUCUGACGUUAGCGGCGGACGGGUGAGUAACACGUGGAUAACCUACCUAUAAGACUGGGAUAACUUCGGGAAACCGGAGCUAAUACCGGAUAAUAUAUUGAACCGCAUGGUUCAAUAGCGAAAGACGGUUUUGCUGUCACUUAUAGAUGGAUCCGCGCCGCAUUAGCUAGUUGGUAAGGUAACGGCUUACCAAGGCAACGAUGCGUAGCCGACCUGAGAGGGUGAUCGGCCACACUGGAACUGAGACACGGUCCAGACUCCUACGGGAGGCAGCAGUAGGGAAUCUUCCGCAAUGGGCGAAAGCCUGACGGAGCAACGCCGCGUGAGUGAUGAAGGUCUUCGGAUCGUAAAACUCUGUUAUUAGGGAAGAACAAAUGUGUAAGUAACUAUGCACGUCUUGACGGUACCUAAUCAGAAAGCCACGGCUAACUACGUG